rnacentral:rRNA from 1 species
GUCCUAGCAGUAAAACGGUGCACGUUUGGUGUAGGAGGAUUCGACCCCUCCUGUGCCGGAGCUAACGCGUUAAACGUGCCGCCUGGGAAGUACGGGUCGCAAGAUUAAAAACUCAAAGAAAUUGACGGGGGCCCGCACAAGCGGUGGAGUAUGUGGCUUAAUUCGAUGCAACGCGAAGAACCUUAACCAGGGUUUGACAUGUAUCGUGUCGGCGAUGAAAGUCGCCUAGCUAUAGCAAUAUAGCGCUUUACACAGGUGCUGCAUGGCUGUCGU